AGAUUUGGUAUAGUUAUGAAAAGAAUGACCACAUGCAGGAGAUUCUAAAGAGCCCCAUUGCGUUCCCCAGGUGAAACUGUUUGAGCAUCUUUUACCUUCAGGGAAUCAGAGUCCUGGGAUCUGGGGUGCACUACAACUAUGGUGAGCCCAGGUGUGAUGGAGCCUAGCUAGAAUCAAGGCAAGCAAGCGUCCACGCCCAGUCUGAGUUGCUCCGUGCCAAACAAGCCUGUCACUCUGCAAAGCCUUUUCACCAAGGACUUAGAAAGAGGGUCAUCUGCUGUCUACGCUAUUAUGCAAACCAGGGUGAUGCGGUCCAUCUGCCCCAAAGCUCUGGGAAUUCUGGGAAUGAAGACACAUCAAUUUUUUUUUUAUUGCAUUUGUGCAUUUGGACCACUGUGAACGAGCUAUCUCCAAAGAGCUGUUCUUGGAAACGUUAGGAAGAACGUGUUUCCCUCUUUUCCCCUGAGUGUGUUGUUAAGCUGGCUUUCCGCCUUCCUUCACCUUCUUUGGAAAGCUAUUCUGGGAGCUUCAUUAGGAAGUGUGGUGAGUGGUCUGAAAAUGAAGGGAACCAGAAAACCCC
rnacentral:lncRNA from 1 species